rnacentral:rRNA from 1 species
CCUACGGGAGGCAGCAGUGAGGAAUAUUGGUCAAUGGGCGCGAGCCUGAACCAGCCAAGUCGCGUGAAGGAUGACUGCCCUACGGGUUGUAAACUUCUUUUAUAAGGGAGUAAUAUGAUUCACGAGUACCGUUUUGUAUGUACUAUAUGAAUAAGCAUCGGCUAACUCCGUGCCAGCAGCCGCGGUAAUACGGAGGAUCCGAGCGUUAUCCGGAUUUAUUGGGUUUAAAGGGUGCGUAGAGGGUAUGUUAAGUCAGUGGGAAAAUUUUGGGGCUAAACCUAAAUAUGCCAUUGAUUCUGGAAGCCUAGAGAACAGACGAGGUAGGCGGAAUACGUGAUGUAGCGGUGAAAUGCAUAGAUAUCACGUAGAACUCCGAUAGCGAAGGCAGCUUACCAGACUGCGACUGACACUGAUGCUCGAGAGUGUGGGUAGCAAACAGGAUUAGAUACCCGGGUAGUC